ensembl:lncRNA
CUGUGGUCGGGGGAGGACUAUAAAUGUCCAAGUGCCCAAAUAUCGCUCUCUUACAAGAAAUGGGAAGAGGAGUAGUGACGUGUUGGGUUUUCGUCUAUGGUAAGCGCUGGCAUUAAAAGCACUAAUGGUGUAUGUGUGUGUUAAAACCAUGUGGGACUCGCGGUUUAGGUAGGUUGGAAUGACUAUUAACUAGAUCGAUUGGAACUUCAGCUUCACGUAGAUUUUUUUUAAAUUUUCUAUCCAUGCUCUAGAUUGCUAGUAGUACCGUAUUAUCUAAAUGCUAACAGAUUGAGGGUCUUGAAAUUAAAAUCACAGUAGCUUGUUCACAUUAUUUGAUCGUCUAUUUUGCGCUACUUUCAAUGUACUGCUUGGUAGAGGCUUGUCUGCGAUGUUCGUUAACAGGCCUGUUAGUGACACGUGCAAGGCCGCUAUGACACGAGGUACUUUUAAAAAACACCUCGGCCUGGUUAGCAAAUUUGGCUAACCGGUAUACAACAAGUUUAAUGCAAUUUAACUCAUGCUUACUUUCCUCCAUAGAUUUUGCAACCAUGUUUGUCGACCAGACAUGGGAGGACUGCAAGCGGGGGGAAAUCCCUUUCGAUGAAGGCCUGCUGAUAAAGUGAAUGACGGCGUCUAAAGGACACAUCCUCUAAUUGGCCAAAUAAGAAUUUGCUGUUAUGUUGAAGGUAAGAAUGCUUUGGAUGACUUGCAGCUCAAUGCUAUAAACUUGCAUUGUGCACUGAUGAGAGCUUUAUAGCUUUAACCCAGCUUUCUUACUGUUGGUGAAGACAUUAUGUUCUAACUCUGAGCACAUUGUGUAAUGCCUUUAGGUCUACCUUUUUUUAAAUGUGUAAAUAUGGCUCACCAAGUUCUUCCUGUUUUAGGUGUAAUGGAGGCUGUGAGGCCGCUACCAUUUGGUUGAAAUUGAAAGAUCAAAGGUGAGGCUGUUAAUCACAAUACCAUUUUACUGUGCAGUGAUGAGAGCUUUAAAGCUUUAACCCAGCUUUCUUACUGUUGGUGAAGACUAUUAAACUCUGAGCACACUUUGUACAGCUGCUCAAGUUGGCCUUUUAUUUUUUUAAAGGUUAUUGGGGGUUAGUGCUAAAACCUAUUCAAAUGUUUUUCUAAUAGGGUGUCUUUGAUUUUCAGGAAUCAUGCUUAUUACAUGAUGCUGUGAUACCAUCUUUGAAGGUAAGAGCGUGGAAUUGUAUAGGUAAAUGGCAAAUGUGCUGUGAUGAGUUUUUUUAAUCACCUACUUAAUGUUUUGUGAAGAAUCUUCGGAACCCUGAGCACCACUCUUUAAUGGCAUACUGCUACCUUUUCGUGUCUGUUUGGCUCAUGUUUCCUUUGUCCUCCACAGAAAUGAAGACCAUGUAUCAGGGUGUUGAGUCUCUGGUUUUUAUGCCCUAAGUUGACAGGUAAUGCACACCUUACAUCUAAAGUGCUUCAUGCUGAUCGGGCUGUGCACUGAUGAGAGCUUGAUAGCUUUAACCCAGCUUUCUUACUGUUGGUGAAGACUUUCAAAAUCUGAGCACAGCUUGUAGUGACUUAUUGUCAAGUAUGUCCAUACUACACUAACUGAUGUUUAAUGUUUGCUUUUCAGAAAAAUCCUGACUCCUCUAAUUAAAGGUGCGUUUGGGUGGCCUAACCCUGUGAGCUACACAUGUCCUGUGCAGUGAUGAUUACUUAUCACCUACUGAAUGUCUAGUGAAGAACCUUCGGAACCCUGAGCACUACUGAGUCAUUAUGGGUUCUUUUUAUGUGGGCCGCAUGUUGCUCAUUAACUUUCUCCACUUUUCCAGGAAUUUACAUGGAAUGGUGAUACUUGGUCUCUUGCUGCAGUGGAUGUCAAAGCAAGGAGGUCAUGCUGAUCUUCUGGUAUGCUGCUGGACUAUCGGUGCAUGAUGCUGCUUUACCCGGUUCUGAUGUCUGGAAUUUAUUGAAAGGAAUGUUCUCUAGAUUCCAUCCUGCUGGAAAUGCUCUCUACUAAGAUGCGCUACUGCUCAUCACACCCCAGCUGGGUUCUUGUCCCUUAAUGCCAUGUAUUCCAGAAGACUCAAGGAAAAGAUUGAAUAAUAUGGAUCCUGGCAUGUCAGUGUUUGAGUUGAUUUGCUGCAUUAUUGGGCUCUGUGCCCUUGAAUUAAAUGUAAAGUGAAAUAAAUGUUUAUUCAAAGUGC